rfam:Brachypodium distachyon strain Bd21 chromosome 3, whole genome shotgun sequence.
GGUUCCAUAGUGUAGUGGCUAGCACCCCAGACUUUGAAUCUGGUAACCUGGGUUCGAAUCCCGGUGGGACCU